ACUCCAGUGGCCUAAGUGGUUAGAUCGUUUGCCUCGAAUGCAGAUGGUCGUGGGUUCGAAUACCGUCCGAGUC